rnacentral:lncRNA from 1 species
CCCAAGCCGGUGUCUGACUGUUUUCUCAGCUUCGAAUAUGAUCAGAGCCCUUCCAUGCUCAUAAAGUUUCCUUGGACUUAUAUUGUCUCAGGAAAAAUUCCAGUGGUGUUUGUACUUAAAAAAAAAAAAAAAUCUCAUAUUGCUAUAGAAUACAGCACUUGACAGAGGCCUGGGGACUAGCUAUAGUAUCCCCCUCUAUCUUUUCCCCUGUUUAUUUUACAGAGUUCUGAUAAGGGGAAGGCAAUUAGCCAAGGAUGCAGUGGGUCGGUGCUGGGAGCAGACCUGAAGCCUGGUAUCUUAAUGGCCAGUCCAGCGGUCCAUCCUCUAUGAGCACUGUGGGGCUCCAAGAUGUAGCUACGAAGUCACAGAGAACAGCUCUCUGUUUGAAGGCAGUUGAAAUUGCCCCUCCCCAGUCAUGGAAACAAGAAGCAUGCAGAAGUCUGGUCUUUCAAAGCAGAGGCCCUGACCCACCUGAGAACGGAGGAGGAUCCGCCUUUGUUAAUCUGGGGGCUUUUUUAGGCUACAUUGUUUCUAUUAUCACCUGUCAGUUCCUCUUUGGGGUAGGUAAUGCCUGAAAAAUUUUUUUAAAACCCUGAAGGCUUCAGAAAACAAAGUCAACCCAGACUAUAACAGCACAUUCUCGUGAUCUGGGGAGAACCUAGGUGGG